UCGAAUCAAUCUGAAGCCCAUCUCUUUCUCUCUCGCGACCACUCUCUCGCGACCACAAUGUUCUGCACCGUCCAAGUCACGUUGUGCUGUUCCAUUGUCGCCGUCAUGGUUCUAUCCAUCUCCGUGUUUAUGGUUGUUCAGGUGGCACAAUCACUAGAUCUGAUGUUGAUGAAGAGGUUACUUACGAAGACUAGGGAAAUUGAAGCAUGAAAGAAGGUGAAUAUGACUAUUAAAAGCAGGGCAGUUGAAAAUAUGUAACUUUGGAAUGUCAAGGCAGUAUUGAAGAACUCUCAAGCAAUAUACUUCUGUUAUGGUUACAUUGGUAUAGAAUAUUUUAUUGCAGGGAUUUCAAAUGGGUAUAGAUCUCCCUCAAUUCCUACUGAAUUUUGAUGGGGAAUCUUUGUGGGAUACUUUUGCCUUGGAUUGUUGAUGUGUGAAUCUUGACCUCAAGUACAUUAAGCAAGAGCGGACCAAGUUUUGGAAGAGCAUCCAGUACUAGUAGAGGUAUCUUUUUGUAUGGAUUUCUAUGCCAAAUAAUGUGUUAUUUUUAGACGGAGCUGUUAGAUCAAGCUCGUUUGACUCGUGCAUUUGCAGCCCUAUCUCCAUCUUUAGCAAGUGAUUUCAGACAGAUUUUCGUGACAACACCUUGCCUGCUUGAAGAGCUAAUGAAGAGUGCUUGAUAUAGUCCUCUUGGUUGUACUUUUUUCUGGGGGCAAAGGAGUUAUGGAAAAUUUGCUGGUAGUUAAUCUUGGUAUAUCAUUGUAGAAUUUCUUUUAAAUUAUUAAGUUGUGCCAAAAUUAUGUAAUAACAUCGAUUCUUGGAUUCAUUUGAAGUCCUUGGACUAGGUGUAAAUCAAUUGUUGUGUUAAGUGUGAAGUAUUGAUAGUGUUUAGAUUUUGUGGAUGAUUUUAUUUGCAAGUUGCUAUGAAAUUAAAGUUCUAUGAUAAUAUUUUAUAUUAAA